rnacentral:rRNA from 1 species
UACGAAGGGGGCGAGCGUUGUUCGGAAUUACUGGGCGUAAAGCGCGCGCAGGUGGUCUUUCAAGUCAGUGGUGAAAGCCCGGAGCUCAACUCCGGAAAUGCCAUUGAAACUGUCAGACUUGAGGAUGAGAGAGGUGAGUGGAAUUCCCAGUGUAGAGGUGAAAUUCGUAGAUAUUGGGAAGAACACCGGUGGCGAAGGCGGCUCACUGGCUCAUAUCUGACGCUCAGGCGCGACAGCGUGGGGAUCAAACAGG